GAAGGUAUGAACAGAGACUUCUCCAAUGAGGACAUAAGAAUGGCUAACAGGCAUAUGGAAAAAUGUUCAUCAUCACUAGCCAUCAGGGAGAUUCAAAUCAAAAACACAUUGAAAUACCACCUUACACCAGUUAGAAUGGCCAAAAUUAGCAAGACAGGA